AACGAACGCUGGCGGCACGCCUAAAACAUGCAAGUCGAACGCCCCGCAAGGGGAGUGGCGCACGGGAGAGGAAUAUAUGGGAAUCUGCCUUGUAGUUUGGAACAACCCCGGGAAACUGGGGCUAAUACCAAAUACGUCCUACGGGAGAAAGAUUUAUCGCUAUAAGAAGAGCCCAUAUCGGAUUAGCUAGUUGGUGGGGUAAUGGCCUACCAAGGCGACGAUCCGUAGCUGGUUUGAGAGAAUGAUCAGCCUCACUGGGACUGAGACACGGCCCAGACUCCUACGGGAGGCAGCAGUUGGGAAUAUUGGACAAUGGGGGAAACCCUGAUCCAGCGAUGCCGCGUGAGUGAUGAAGGCCUUCGGGUUGUAAAGCUCUUUUGGCAGGGACGAUGAUGACGGUACCUGCAGAAUAAGCCCCGGCUAACUUCGUGCCAGCAGCCGCCGUAAGAC
rnacentral:rRNA from 1 species